rnacentral:lncRNA from 1 species
CUUGAUUAUUGGUGGUCUGGUCGAAGCUUUAAGGGGAGUGAAAUAUCUCAUCAGGAUCCAGUGUGGUCCCUUAUCUUUGGAAAUGAAAGCAUCCUUGUUGUUUUGCCGCAGCAGAAAAUGAGGGGAGGUGACUGUUGCAGAGGAGAAGACCCCGGUGCUUAGCAACCAAGAGCAGACACAGCCUCUGGUCGCAUCCUGACUUAAGCAAACCAGUUGUAAGACACAUACAGGGGCAUGGCGGAAAUGCGACACAGACAGAUAGCAGACAAAUCGGGGAGUUAUUCGUUGUGUCAGAAAAACAGCAAGAAAAUACAGCAACAUUUUAUUAAAUAAGGCGCUCUCUGCAUCCUCUGGAGCCGUGGCUAAGGGAGCGAGGACUAGUCGAGAGACGGGAUUUGACUCACCAGCCACUGACCAACCGGGAACGAGCCCAACUGGCUUCUGCGUUUUUGAUGAGAUUUCGAGGCCUUUAAGGACUUCAAAGGCGAAUAGGUUUUAAAGUUACAGGAAUGAAAGUAAUAACUGGCUAAUAUUCAAAGGUGAGAAAGACUUGGUGAAUGGAUUGUAAACGACUUUUCUUGUUGAAGACGCUGAGUGUGACUCGAGGUCAUCGUUUCAACCUCAGGGACAACUGCCCCUGACUACAUCGUGGAUGCAGAUGAUGUGGAUGCAGAUGUCGUGGACGCAGACGUCUGUGGACGUAGACGUCGCGGAUGCAGAUGUCUGUGCCACCCGCCUCGGGGACUAUUGGGAAACACAGGAGACAAGGCUGAAGGUAUACCGCCUCCAGGAAAGCAGUUAACGAUAUCAAUUUUUUUACUUGUUUGCUCUUUAAUUUUAAAAAGGAAUGCGUCAUACUUGGUGAUAAUAUUGUACAUGAAAGUGUUAACUGCAGCCGGAUGGAAGAAAACCAAAAGAGCAAACUUGAACUGGAAUAAAAAAAAUCUGUACCUCUGUCCUUAGCAAGAAUAUUCCCACACCAUUCCCCAAAGCUAUCAUCUAUCCAUUACUUAAAAUUCUACAGAAAAAAUUUGACCACUGUCUAUGAAAAGGUAGAGAAUUAUUAUUAAAACA